GAUGAACGCCGGCGGCGUGCCUAAUACAUGCCAGUCGAGCGAACAGACGAGGAGCUUGCUCCUCUGACGUUAGCGGCGGACGGGUGAGUAACACGUGGAUAACCUACCUAUAAGACUGGGAUAACUUCGGGAAACCGGAGCUAAUACCGGAUAAUAUAUUGAACCGCAUGGUUCAAUAGUGAAAGACGGUUUUGCUGUCCCUUAUAGAUGGAUCCGCGCCGCAUUAGCUAGUUGGUAAGGUAACGGCUUACCAAGGCAACGAUGCGUAGCCGACCUGAGAGGGUGAUCGGCCACACUGGAACUGAGACACGGUCCAGACUCCUACGGGAGGCAGCAGUAGGGAAUCUUCCGCAAUGGGCGAAAGCCUGACGGAGCAACGCCGCGUGAGUGAUGAAGGUCUUCGGAUCGUAAAACUCUGUUAUUAGGGAAGAACAAAUGUGUAAGUAACUAUGCACGUCUUGACGGUACCUAAUCAGAAAGCCACGGCUAACUACGUG
rnacentral:rRNA from 1 species